rnacentral:rRNA from 1 species
GACGAACGCUGGCGGCGUGCUUAACACAUGCAAGUCGAGCGGAAAGGCCCUUCGUGGUACUCGAGCGGCGAACGGGUGAGUAACACGUGAGUAACCUGCCCCAGACUUUGGGAUAACCCUCGGAAACGGGGGCUAAUACCGGAUACGACACAGCUUCGCAUGGGGUCUGUGUGGAAAGUUUUUCGGUUUGGGAUGGGCUCGCGGCCUAUCAGCUUGUUGGUGGGGUGAUGGCCUACCAAGGCCACGACGGGUAGCCGGCCUGAGAGGGCGACCGGCCACACUGGGACUGAGACACGGCCCAGACUCCUACGGGAGGCAGCAGUGGGGAGUAUUGCACAAUGGGCGGAAGCCUGAUGCAGCGACGCCGCGUGAGGGAUGACGGCCUUCGGGUUGUAAACCUAUUUCAGCAGGGACGAAGCGUAAGUGACGGUACCUGCAGAAGAAGCGCCGGCCAACUACGUG